rnacentral:lncRNA from 1 species
ACUACUAAAAUGAUCAAAUUUCAAGGCUACAAAAAUGGUGCCUGUGACUUGGCUUGUACACAGGAUAUAUCACAUAAACGGAACGAAUCUCAAAUUUUUCAACUUGAUACAACACAAUAUACGAGCAAACAAAACUGAAAUUUUUGACAUGAAGUUAUACAUGUAUCAACUCUAAAUGUUUGAAACUAUUCGUAAUCUAAAUUCAGUCUAAAACUUAAAAUUAAAUCAGUAGCCAUCAAUCAUUUUCGACACCGAAAAGUAAAGUCAGCACCAGCAUUCCUGUAGUACAAGUUAGCCUGUAGCUGUUUGCUGUGAGUGCUCUUUGAUUCUAGCUGAUGAAGCUUCAGUGAUCCACUGCACUCUUUAUUAGCCAUUCUUAAGCAGUCACCUCAAAACAAUCAAAAUAAUUAUCAGAUUUCAAAUUAAGGUAGGUAAGCGUGAUGAAAAAGGCUGGAAAAAUGAAGUCCUCAUAGAUAUUGUCCAGCAAAUUAUGUCCAAAAAGUUCUCUUUCAAUGGUUAAGGAAUUUGUCUCGUAUUCACAUUAAAAGAUAUAUAGCUAAGGUAUUUGUCUCAUAUUCACAUUAAAAUACAUAGCUAGGUAGCAACAUGUGGACAAUUCAUAUUCAUGGGUGUCAAGUCUUUUAAAGAUCCAGGAAGCUCAUAUUAUGAGUCAUAAAACUGCAAAAAGAUAUUAUAGCACCAACACAAAACUAGAUAUGCAAGAGAAUUUUUUAGAAUUCAUUAAUUCUCAUUAAUAUUUUUCAGAUAGAUUAAUUCAACAAUAUGCAGUUGACAAAAAUAUAUAACCAUAAUUCAUUCAGUGACACAUUUGCACAAUUUAAAAUUUACUGCAGAACAGAGGCAAAUUGAAUUAAAAGAAUAUUUAAAAAGGUCACAUGGAAUGAGAAUGAAAGCCAAAAUUAUAACGGUUUACUGUCAAGUUCCCCCAUCCUCUUAAGACCAGUAUGAGCACGAUCUGAUGUUUCUUUCAAGGCCUAUGAAAUUGGUAGAUAGACUAGUACACAUAGGUUAAGAACUGCAGAGAAGAACUAAAAGAAGCAAAGGUAAGCCUUUAACAGGAGUACAAAAAUCAUAUAAAAAUUAUGAAAAAUUGGACUUCAUCAUUCUACAUUGAAAGAGAUUACGUAAAUAGUUUGCAUAUCCUUCUCACUUAAUCACAAUUUAAAAUUUGUUUUCCAAUUUUCUCAUUCACUCAUGAGUUUCUGAGUCACCUACAGAUUUUUGGCAUCAACAACAGAUAAUUAUCUGAUAGCACAGAAAAUAGAUACUGCAUGCCAAUCCAUUCAAAAUCCUUUCUUCAGUUCUAACACUUUGAAAGCACAGUUCAGGUAAGCAAAAUAAGUCCUGAAAAACAGAAAAGAGGCGAAGACCAAAGUACAAAUUCUCACAAUUCAUGAUCUUGUAAACCAUCUAAAUGGAAAUCAUCCCAUUAACUACCGCAGUAGGUUUCUAGACUAAUGGAAGAAGAAAUGCUUACAUUAAUCAAUUCUUUACGACCAUCUUGUAGCUCACCGUAACUUUUAUGUUUUUUAUGAUUAAAGUGUGGUUCAAUGCUUCUACAUCUUCAAUCUCUCCUGGUUCAAUCCUUCUACAUCUUCAAUCUCUCC